rnacentral:rRNA from 1 species
CCUACGGUGUGCAGCAGUGGGGAAUCUUGGGCAAUGGGCGCAAGCCUGACCCAGCAACGCCGCGUGAAGGAAGAAGGCUUUCGGGUUGUAAACUUCUUUUCUGAGGGACGAAGAAAGUGACGGUACCUCAGGAAUAAGCCACGGCUAACUACGUGCCAGCAGCCGCGGUAAUACGUAGGUGGCAAGAGUUAUCCGGAUUUAUGGGGUGUAAAGGGCGUGUAGGCGGGAAAGCAAGUCAGAUGUGAAAACUCAGGGCGCAAACCUGAGCCUGCAUUUGACACUGUUUUUUUUGAGUGCUGGAGAGGCAAUCGGAAUUCCGGGUGUAGCGGUGAAAGGCGUAGAUAUACGGAGGAACACCAGUGGCGAAGGCGGAUUGCUGGACAGUAACUGACGCUGAGGCGCGAAAGCGUGGGGAGCAAACAGGAUUAGAUACCCGAGUAGUC